AUUGAACGCUGGCGGAAUGCUUUACACAUGCAAGUCGAACGGCAGCACGGACUUCGGUCUGGUGGCGAGUGGCGAACGGGUGAGUAAUGUAUCGGAACGUGCCCAGUCGUGGGGGAUAACGUAGUGAAAAUUACGCUAAUACCGCAUACGAUCUAUGGAUGAAAGCGGGGGAUCGCAAGAACUCGCGCGAUUGGAGCGGCCGAUAUCAGAGUAGGUAGUUGGUGGGGUAAAGGCCCACCAAGCCAACGAUCUGUAGCUGGUCUGAGAGGACGACCAGCAACACUGGAACUGGGACACGGUCCAGACUCCGACGGGAGGCAGCAGUGGGGAAUUUUGGACAAUGGGCGAAAGCCUGAUCCAGCCAUUCCGCGUGCAGGAUGAAGGCCCUCGGGUUGUAAACUGCUUUUGUACAGAACGAAAAGGUUUCUACUAAUACUAGGAGCUCAUGACGGUACUGUAAGAAUAAGCACCGGCUAACUACGUGCCAGCCGCCGCAGUAA
rnacentral:rRNA from 1 species